rnacentral:lncRNA from 1 species
UAGGCCGAGGGCACCUGGAUGACCGCAAAAGUCAGGAGGAUCGUGCUUUGCCGUGGUUCGGCUCCAGCAGUCACGGGCAGGGUGACCUCUCCUUCCACUGCGACAGCGUCUCCAGCGAAACCUAUUAGGAGAGUAGAGACUCUCUUGAGUCGGUCGACCGAUAGUCGCAUUCGUGAGAAGGUCGAGUAAAACAGAACGUUCGUUGAACUUCCAUUAUCUACAAAAAUUCUCUUUACAUCGUAAUUGGCUAUUGUUGCCGAGACAACAACAGCAUCAUCAUGGGGGAUUUGGAUGCCCCGAACAUCUU